GGGUUGUGAGGUUAAGCGACUAAGCGUACACGGUGGAUGCCCUGGCAGUCAGAGGCGAUGAAGGACGUGCUAAUCUGCGAAAAGCGCCGGCGAGGUGAUAUGAACCUUUGACCCGGCGAUGUCCGAAUGGGGAAACCCAGUGUGUUCCGACACACUAUCGUUAACUGAAUACAUAGGUUAACGAGGCGAACCGGGGGAACUGAAACAUCUAAGUACCCCGAGGAAAAGAAAUCAACCGAGAUUCCCCCAGUAGCGGCGAGCGAACGGGGAGCAGCCCAGAGUCUGAAUCAGCUUGUGUGUUAGUGGAAGCGUCUGGAAAGUCGCACGGUACAGGGUGACAGUCCCGUACACGAAAGCACACAGGCUGUGAACUCGAAGAGUAGGGCGGGACACGUGGUAUCCUGUCUGAAUAUGGGGGGACCAUCCUCCAAGGCUAAAUACUCCUGACUGACCGAUAGUGAACCAGUACCGUGAGGGAAAGGCGAAAAGAACCCCGGCGAGGGGAGUGAAAAAGAACCUGAAACCGUGUACGUACAAGCAGUGGGAGCCUCUUUAUGGGGUGACUGCGUACCUUUUGUAUAAUGGGUCAGCGACUUAUAUUCUGUAGCAAGGUUAACCGUAUAGGGGAGCCGAAGGGAAACCGAGUCUUAACUGGGCGUUAAGUUGCAGGGUAUAGACCCGAAACCCGGUGAUCUAGCCAUGGGCAGGUUGAAGGUUGGGUAACACUAACUGGAGGACCGAACCGACUAAUGUUGAAAAAUUAGCGGAUGACUUGUGGCUGGGGGUGAAAGGCCAAUCAAACCGGGAGAUAGCUGGUUCUCCCCGAAAGCUAUUUAGGUAGCGCCUCGUGAACUCAUCUUCGGGGGUAGAGCACUGUUUCGGCUAGGGGGCCAUCCCGGCUUACCAACCCGAUGCAAACUACGAAUACCGAAGAAUGUUAUCACGGGAGACACACGGCGGGUGCUAACGUCCGUCGUGAAGAGGGAAACAACCCAGACCGCCAGCUAAGGUCCCAAAGUCAUGGUUAAGUGGGAAACGAUGUGGGAAGGCACAGACAGCCAGGAUGUUGGCUUAGAAGCAGCCAUCAUUUAAAGAAAGCGUAAUAGCUCACUGGUCGAGUCGGCCUGCGCGGAAGAUGUAACGGGGCUAAACCAUGCACCGAAGCUGCGGCAGCGACGCUUAUGCGUUGUUGGGUAGGGGAGCGUUCUGUAAGCCGUUGAAGGUGUCCUGUGAGGGGUGCUGGAGGUAUCAGAAGUGCGAAUGCUGACAUAAGUAACGAUAAAGCGGGUGAAAAGCCCGCUCGCCGGAAGACCAAGGGUUCCUGUCCAACGUUAAUCGGGGCAGGGUGAGUCGACCCCUAAGGCGAGGCCGAAAGGCGUAGUCGAUGGGAAACAGGUUAAUAUUCCUGUACUUGGUGUUACUGCGAAGGGGGGACGGAGAAGGCUAUGUUAGCCGGGCGACGGUUGUCCCGGUUUAAGCAUGUAGGCGGAGGUUCCAGGUAAAUCCGGUUCCUUGUUAACGCUGAGGUGUGAUGACGAGGCACUACGGUGCUGAAGUAACAAAUGCCCUGCUUCCAGGAAAAGCCUCUAAGCAUCAGGUAACAUCAAAUCGUACCCCAAACCGACACAGGUGGUCAGGUAGAGAAUACCAAGGCGCUUGAGAGAACUCGGGUGAAGGAACUAGGCAAAAUGGUGCCGUAACUUCGGGAGAAGGCACGCUGAUAUGUAGGUGAAGCCCCUGCGGGUGGAGCUGAAAUCAGUCGAAGAUACCAGCUGGCUGCAACUGUUUAUUAAAAACACAGCACUGUGCAAACACGAAAGUGGACGUAUACGGUGUGACGCCUGCCCGGUGCCGGAAGGUUAAUUGAUGGGGUUAGCGGUAACGCGAAGCUCUUGAUCGAAGCCCCGGUAAACGGCGGCCGUAACUAUAACGGUCCUAAGGUAGCGAAAUUCCUUGUCGGGUAAGUUCCGACCUGCACGAAUGGCGUAAUGAUGGCCAGGCUGUCUCCACCCGAGACUCAGUGAAAUUGAACUCGCUGUGAAGAUGCAGUGUACCCGCGGCAAGACGGAAAGACCCCGUGAACCUUUACUAUAGCUUGACACUGAACACUGGUCCUUGAUGUGUAGGAUAGGUGGGAGGCUUUGAAGCGUGGACGCCAGUCUGCGUGGAGCCAACCUUGAAAUACCACCCUUUAAUGGCUGGUGUUCUAACGUAGACCCGUAAUCCGGGUUGCGGACAGUGUCUGGUGGGUAGUUUGACUGGGGCGGUCUCCUCCCAAAGAGUAACGGAGGAGCACGAAGGUUAGCUAAUCCUGGUCGGACAUCAGGAGGUUAGUGCAAUGGCAUAAGCUAGCUUGACUGCGAGAGUGACGGCUCGAGCAGGUGCGAAAGCAGGUCAUAGUGAUCCGGUGGUUCUGAAUGGAAGGGCCAUCGCUCAACGGAUAAAAGGUACUCCGGGGAUAACAGGCUGAUACCGCCCAAGAGUUCAUAUCGACGGCGGUGUUUGGCACCUCGAUGUCGGCUCAUCACAUCCUGGGGCUGAAGUAGGUCCCAAGGGUAUGGCUGUUCGCCAUUUAAAGUGGUACGCGAGCUGGGUUUAGAACGUCGUGAGACAGUUCGGUCCCUAUCUGCCGUGGGCGCUGGAGAAUUGAGGGGGGCUGCUCCUAGUACGAGAGGACCGGAGUGGACGCAUCACUGGUGUUCGGGUUGUCAUGCCAAUGGCACUGCCCGGUAGCUAAAUGCGGAAGAGAUAAGUGCUGAAAGCAUCUAAGCACGAAACUUGCCCCGAGAUGAGUUCUCCCUGAGACUUUAAGUCUCCUGAAGGAACGUUGAAGACUACGACGUUGAUAGGUCGGGUGUGUAAGCGCAGCGAUGCGUUGAGCUAACCGAUACUAAUGAACCGUGAGGCUUAACCUUACAACGCCGAAG
rnacentral:rRNA from 2 species